rnacentral:snoRNA from 1 species
AGACUUGCAUAUGCUUUUGCUCAACUUGUGGACAAAAUUUAUAGACAGGUACAAAAAAAUAAAUCUCUUUUUGCAUCUCAGAACUCAUUGUUUCAUAUGAGUUUUGAUGCAUAUAAGAAGAAAUAUA